UGUGUUGCUAUAGUUACCUACCUCUGAUACGAACUUGUAACAGCAGCGUUAGGAGGAUGUGUGUCAUCACUACAUGUUCCCCGUUGUCUGCACGAUCCCCUGACCUGUCUGAGUCUAUGGACAACUGAAGAAUAACGUGACCCCGUUUCAUGAGCCUAGAGCGGACGAUAACACGUAACAAUGUAAAUUCUGAGCAAGAACCUCCAGCUCCUCACAGCCGCACAAUUAGAAAAUCAAAUCUGACUGUUACUGAAAGUCUGCUGAGCUGUGAAAGCCCUCUCUUUUGUUAUCAGCAGAAUCUUGCAUCCGUAACAAUGCCGAGAAACGUACUUGAUUAUUCGGCUGCUGACAUGGUCGACUUAGCUUUAGAGAGAAGCUGCGUACUGUAAAGAAAAAAAAAUCACAUAUUUAUAAAUGUUCUUCAAGGACUUGAAUAUUCUGCUGUUAAAAUAAAUAACUUUAUGCACAUAACUUAGAAUGAAAUGGCCAUGGAAGACAAUGAGAACAUUUAUUACAGAGCAAAGCAAAGAAGAUAACAAAAAAGCCAAGGCAAAGCAUAG